GUAUGACUCCCACCCCCAUGCACUGCCACAGGGGACAGAGCUGAAGGAAGAUGGCCUCUGGAAUCAGAAUUCCUGCUGCCACCCUUCCUGCACCCAGCACACCCACCACCCUCAGAGAAAGUGGCGCAGCCCAAGGGAUCCUUCUAUCAUCCUGGACUCCAGGCACUCCUCUCCCAGCAAGCCAUCCUGCAGGCUGCUGCGUGUGUGGGGAUUAAUGUCCCCAGUGUGGCAGGUCUAAAUAAUGGGCUACAGGGAGGCACAUCUGUAAAUUAUACAGGAAGCCUUCUUCAACAACUGAUUCACCCUGACAGUUUUACUGGAGUAUAUGAAAAUGAGUAUUAAAGAUGUGAUCUGUAGGCUUCCUUCCAGGAAUUCCAAUCUGGUUUCAAUAAAAUGGGAACACUGAUUGGAAGUGAAGUUGCCUUCCGGUUUUGCCUUUGGCUAUUACGUGCUCAUUCGUGAAAUGACUGAAUUCCACAACUACUUUUAAUAUUCACCUUUUGAGUUCAUCUCCCGCACUGGACACAUUGGAAUGAUUAAAAUAGCAUUGGCUCCCCACGCUGGGUGCUCUCUAAUUUAAAACAGUCCAGGUGCU
rnacentral:lncRNA from 1 species